AUUGAACGCUGGCGGCAGACCUAACACAUGCAAGUCGAACGGUAACAGGAAGAAGCUUGCUUCUUUGCUGACGAGUGGCGGACGGGUGAGUAAUGUCUGGGAAACUGCCUGAUGGAGGGGGAUAACUACUGGAAACGGUAGCUAAUACCGCAUAACGUCGCAAGACCAAAGAGGGGGACCUUCGGGCCUCUUGCCAUCGGAUGUGCCCAGAUGGGAUUAGCUAGUAGGUGGGGUAACGGCUCACCUAGGCGACGAUCCCUAGCUGGUCUGAGAGGAUGACCAGCCACACUGGAACUGAGACACGGUCCAGACUCCUACGGGAGGCAGCAGUGGGGAAUAUUGCACAAUGGGCGCAAGCCUGAUGCAGCCAUGCCGCGUGUAUGAAGAAGGCCUUCGGGUUGUAAAGUACUUUCAGCGGGGAGGAAGGGAGUAAAGUUAAUACCUUUGCUAAUUGACGUUACCCGCAGAAGAAGCACCGGCUAACUCCGUG
rnacentral:rRNA from 1 species